rnacentral:rRNA from 2 species
AGGUGCGAUCAUACCAGCACUAAUGCACCGGAUCCCAUCAGAACUCCGCAGUUAAGCGUGCUUGGGCGAGAGUAGUACUAGGAUGGGUGACCUCCUGGGAAGUCCUUGUUUUGCACCUC